UUAUGGAGUAUUUUUCUUAGCUACUUGAUAUUAGAUAUUGAUCAGUGGAAUAAAGUUAUUGAACAGCUUGGAACACCAUGUCCUGAAUUCAUGAAGAAACUGCAACCAACAGUAAGGACUUACGUUGAAAACAGACCUAAAUAUGCUGGAUAUAGCUUUGAGAAACUCUUCCCUGAUGUCCUUUUCCCAGCUGACUCAGAACACAACAAACUUAAAGCCAGUCAGGCAAGGGAUUUGUUAUCCAAAAUGCUGGUAAUAGAUGCAUCUAAAAGGAUCUCUGUAGAUGAAGCUCUCCAACACCCGUACAUCAAUGUCUGGUAUGAUCCUUCUGAAGCAGAAGCUGUAAGUUAUUUUCUUAAUGUUUACAGAACAUAUUGCAUUCUUAGAGUUAGAAUGACAAUUAGGUUUGGAGGAGACCUUUUAAUUUUAAAUAAAAAUGUAGAUACAUGA
rnacentral:sRNA from 1 species